rnacentral:rRNA from 1 species
AACGAACGCUGGCGGCAGGCCUAACACAUGCAAGUCGAGCGGUCCCUUUGGGGGCAGCGGCGGACGGGUGAGUAACGCGUGGGAACCUGGCCUUGGGUGCGGGAUAACGUCGGGAAACUGGCGCUAAUACCGCAUAAUGUCUACUGACCAAAGAUUUAUCGCCCAAGGAUGGGCCCGCGUUGGAUUAGCUAGAUGGUGGGGUAACGGCCUACCAUGGCGACGAUCCCUAGCUGGUCUGAGAGGAUGACCAGCCACACUGGAACUGAGACACGGUCCAGACUCCUACGGGAGGCAGCAGUGGGAAUAUUGCACAAUGGGCGCAAGCCUGAUGCAGCCAUGCGCGUGUAUGAAGAAGGCUCGG